CACGUAGGGGGCGAGCGUUGUCCGGAAUCACUGGGCGUAAAGGGCGUGUAGGUGGCUGAGAAAGUCAGGUGUGAAAAGCCUCGGCUCAACCGAGGACCAGCACAUGAAACUAAGCAGCUUGAGUGCAGGAGAGGGGAGCGGAAUUCCCGGUGUAGCGGUGAAAUGCGUAGAUAUCGGGAAGAACACCGGUGGCGAAGGCGGCUCUCUGGACUGUAACUGACACUGAGGCGCGAAAGCUGGGGUAGCGAACGGGAUGAGAUACCCCGGUAGUCCCAGCCGUAAACAAUGGGUACUAGGUGUUGGCAGUUAACUGUCAGUGCCGCAGUGAACGCAUUAAGUAUCCCGCCUGGGGAGUACGGUCGCAAGGCUGGA
rnacentral:rRNA from 1 species